GAGUCUCUUGUGUCACUUCUUUCUAUACAGACACAGUAACAAUCUGAUCUCUCUUUCUUUUCCCCACAGGGUCCAUCUAUGCAGUCUGAUCCUGACCUCUCCAUUUUUCUCCCUGCUCUAUGAGUGUCCCUGAGUCAAUGCUACACUAGCCUAUUUACUAGAACUCUAUAAUCUAUUGUGGUAUCAAGUAGGGCAAUCCUCCUAUCUUCCUCCUUUCCUCCAAGAGAGUCUUGGCUAUUAUUGAUGAUUUUGCAUUGUCAUAUACAUUUUCAAGCCAAAUCCAAUCGGUUAGUCCAGUUCCACUAUAAACCCUGUUGGGAUUACAUUGAUUCUAUAGAGCAGUACUGACUGAUUUACACUACUGAGUUUUUCAACCCGUGAGCAAUCUGUGUGUUACUCCAUUUUCUCAUUUUUAUGUCCCUCAAUAAGGUUUUAUAAUUUUUCCUGUAGAAGUUUUGCAUGUCCUUUGGUAAAUUUAUUUGUAGGUAAUUGAGACAUUUUAAAAUUGUUCCCUUUUGGGAAACUAUUAAGGAUCCUGUUGGAAAAACUCAACCUCAUGUUCUAAAUAACGUGAUAUCCAGUGGUAAAUGUCACUAUUUCCGUGGGGUUUCUGACCCAGCCUGAGCAAUCCAGAGUUUUUCUACAAGGCAGGGAUGAGAUUGCUAAACUCCAUCCAUGAAAAACCUGCUUUUAAGCCUACAGGUAAAACAUUCUAUUUGUUUAAUAGGGCAGGGCAAGCUGUACUUCUGAAAAUGCUAAGUUCAGCAGGCUUCUUUUAGGAAUAGUGCCAGAAUUAGCCAAUUCUACUUUGAAAAAAAUCUCAAGUAAAAUAAUAAGAACUCAACAUUCAGCAAAUAUUUAUUAAGCACUUACUCUGGACCAGGUAUUAUUACAAGCAAUGGGGAUAGAGCAGUGAAUGAAGACAAAGCCUGUGACCUUGUGGCAGUUAUCUGGAGAGGCAGAUAACAAGUGAACAAUUUAUUUACUAUGGAAACAGAAGUGAGGAUGAUGGAAACAUGAGGAAAGCUUUUGUCUAAAGCAAGAAUCACAGGCAUCAGCCUAUAGAAACAGGACAAAUGGAGAAAAUCACUGGAGAGAAUGACAGCAAAGAAACCCCUCCAGAGAGAAGAGGUCUCAGUCCAGCCUCACACCAAGUAGAGCCUCAUCAAAACGUUCUGUUCUCAUAGGGAGUUGGGGGCCUGUACCAGAGGCCAUGAAGUCUCUUGGAGUCCAUGCUAUGUGAGUGGUGCACAUCUCCACUGCCCAACCCAUAGAAAACUCACCUAAGUUUUCUCUUUUCUCUUCUAUAGAUAUUUUUGGAAAUGAGUUGGGGACAAGGAAAAAGCUAUCAUUGCACAGACAUCUACCCCAAUUCUGCCUCCUGCUGCACUCUCACUGAGAGACAAUGGUCCAAGAAGCACUCUCCCCUCUCCAUGGCUGGCUAGCUAGGUUCACAUUGGUGCAAAGAGCACUCGACAUUGCCAGAAGUGUGCAUCAUCAUGUCCCCAUGCCAUCUUCCAGUGAGGAAGCCUGAGCAGCUGGGGAGAGGCCCAUAUGGAGAAGAACCAAAGUCCCCAGUCCCCAGCCCCAGACCAGCUGAAUUCCCAGCUAACAUCCAGCACUAACUUGCCAGCCAAGAGAAUGACCUGUAUUGAAAGUGGAUUGUCCAGCCCCAGUUGGAGCCAUCUCAGCAGUUGCCAUGUGGAGCAGAUGCAAGUCAUUCCUGUCAAACUCUGUGCUUAUUUGUGAGCAAAAGAAAUAAUUGUUUUUGUUUUAAUCAA
rnacentral:lncRNA from 1 species